ensembl:snoRNA LOC120093983 small nucleolar RNA SNORA17
CCUGUUUCUAGAAGUGUUCCAGGUGUGGUUGCUGUGUCACAUGUAAGUGACAGAGAGGAGAAAGGCUAUUUCUACACUCAGUGUUCUGAUCUAUGAAUAUCUGAAUGAUUAAUAGCCUAACAAU